CGCGAAGCCCCACGCGAUAUACACGCGUGUUCACGCCAGUGAACUGAAUAUAACUGGAGUCAUAUAAAAAACGCUUGUCUUGGAUUAUUUGGCUUUAGGCAAAAAUUAACCUGCGAUCAGGGAGAAAUGAACUAUGGAAUAAUGGCCUGAUCUCUAUUGGUUUCCUAGUUGGCUGCAUGCACAGUUGUGCCAGAAAUAUGCGCCAUAUUUUGCUGGCAGGUUAUGAAGAUGUGCCAUCUUUUCUUAACCAGUGGAAAGUGGAAGCUAUAGAACGUCCUAAAAUGAUUAAAAUGAAAACAUAUUUGGUAUAUACUGUAUAACUCAAAAUUAAUUUCACAGUCACAGGUCACAACAGUCUACAGUACAUGCCCAUGGCCAUGCUGAUACUGUAUAUGUGCCAUUUUCAGCUCUGAAUACUGACUUGAGAGGGCAUAUUUUGACUUGAGAUAUGCAUGUAUAUGUAUGUAUGUAUGUUUUCUCAAUUAUUUCGUGUUGCUGUUGUUUAAUAUAUCAUGCAAUUCAAACCAAAUCAGUUACAUGCAGGACACAGCAGUAGCCUAUAUAGGUAGCUACUAUAUGCCGAUAGAUUUAUGAAAAUGUAAAGACUCAAGCUUGACUCUGGACUCAAGGAGUGCAUGAACGGCAUCAUUAAUGAUAUUUAAUUUAUGUUGCAUCAGAGUGGUUUUAUGCGCAAACUUUGUUAGUGACUUAAGAUCUUUUAAUAGUAACUUUACCUUCGAUAAGCUGGAAUCGUCUAUAAGUGCCACCUCUUAAGAGCCGAGUUAUAGAAUACAGUAUAGCUAGCUACUUCACCGAUAUCGUCAGUUGGCAUCUAGUUGAAAAUCGCAACGGGGUAUUUUAUUCUGCGAGCUAUUUUAGUUGAAUCAAUUUUAU